CCCCAAACCGACACAGGUGGUCGGGUAGAGAAUACCAAGGCGCUUGAGAGAACUCGGGUGAAGGAACUAGGCAAAAUGGUACCGUAACUUCGGGAGAAGGUACGCUCUUGAUGGUGAAGUCCCUUGCGGAUGGAGCUGACGAGAGUCGCAGAUACCAGGUGGCUGCAACUGUUUAUUAAAAACACAGCACUGUGCAAAAUCGUAAGAUGACGUAUACGGUGUGACGCCUGCCCGGUGCCGGAAGGUUAAUU
rnacentral:rRNA from 1 species